rnacentral:lncRNA from 1 species
AAAACACCAGUUACAUAAGCAAAGAGAGUCUUUCACUCCAGGGUUUGUGUGUUACUCUGGAAGUCAGACUAAAUCUCUCCCAAAGUGGAGAUACUGGAUAGACAUUGAUGCUGCAGCAGGAGCCUGAUGUGGUGGCUGUGGGAUGGGUCACCUGGGCCCCCUGAAGUCUCCGCCCCCUUGAUGCUGGCAGCCAGCAGCUGGCUUUUCCACCGCAGCUCUUUUGCCAUCCCAGUAUUAAAGAAAGAGAGAGGAAAUACACCAAAUCUCCUAUUGAAGUAGAUACUUAUGGCUUCUUUUUCUUCCCCUUAAAAUGUUUCUAAAAAAUUAAAAAAUAACAAUAAAAAAGAAAGGAAGGAAGGAAGGAGAAAGAAACAAAGGAAAACAUUUUAGUUGCAGUUGAAAUGCCUCCCCAACCUCUCCCCAAAGUUAAUCCUUCUACUCAGAAUGUUCUGUGCUAUGUUGUGCUGCGUUUUAAUUCCACAAAGAACCCCGUGGGCACUGACCAGCCCGGCUCCCACUCUCCAGAGCACCUGGCACCCACUCUUCCACUGCAUUAUCGUGCUGUUCUGGAGAGAACAAUUCGGUCUUUGUUGUGCUGCUGAGGAUCCCCGGCCAGGCCCCGUGAGUGGAUGCAGGUUUCUAGAGAAUUGGGCACCCGUGGGCACCAUGGUGACUGUCCUCUCCUUUCAAGACGCCUGUGGAUUUCAGCAGCUUUCCUUAAUGAGUCGGCUCUUCAGAAAAGUUCUGAAUUUGUUUGAUGUCCUGAAGCACUUGUGGUUCUUUGUCUAAAAAUGUAGACAUUCUCUAAGCAUGCUUUUCAUCCCGUGAAUGAAUCUCUUUCUGUGUCCUGGCCUCUAACACCCUAAAGUUCAGAGGCAUACAAGUAAAAAGGGGCAUUUGUACGAGAAAACGAAGAUUUCAGGACACAGAGUUUUUUGACUGUUGGUGACCUUUCGUGACAUUUUCCCUCAACAUAUUACCAUUUGUUCAUCCACUUAUUCACGCAGUCACAGACAUUAAUUAAACCACAACUAUAUGCAAGAGACUUUGCUGGGCACUGUGUGGGACGCAGGGGUCCCUGGGAGGGAGCAGACCAGAGUGGCUGAGAGCUCGAGUUUGGGAAUCAGAACACUUGUUGGCUUUGCCUCUUCUGGGCUGGGUGAUCUUGAGCAAAUCACUUAAUCUCCCUCUCUCGGAUUCCACAUCUGAAACAUCAGAAUCUACUUUAUAGGGUUAUUGUGAGAAUUUAUUGAGAUUUGCUGGCCAAGCAUCUUCUAAUCACUCAUUCGAUAUUCACUUAAAAAAGAGAGCAACUUGUAGUCUAGAAUGGAAACAAGACAUUUAUGCAGAUAAUUAUAUCAUAUGUGGUAAAGAACAGUAAACGCCAUGAGAAUUAAAAAGGAGGGUGGAUUAACAGAGGAAGUAGCAGUAGCUAAUCUAACAAAAAAGCCCCAAGCCUGUGGUUUAAUGCAACAGGUAUGG